CCUACGGGUGGCAGCAGUGGGGAAUAUUGGACAAUGGGGGGAACCCUGAUGCAGCGACGCCGCGUGAGUGAAGAAGUAUUUCGGUUUGUAAAGCUCUAUCAGCAGGGAAGAAAAUGACGGUACCUGACUAAGAAGCCCCGGCCAACUACGUGCCAGCAGCCGCGGUAAUACGUAGGGGGCAAGCGGUAUCCGGAUUUAAUGGGUGGAAAGGGUGCGUAGACGGUGGAGCAAGUCUGUUGUGAAAGUUCCGGGCCCAACCGAGGGACUGCAUUUGAAACUGGUUCACUGGAGUACAGGAGAGGUAAGCGGAAUUCCGAGUGUAGCGGUGAAAUGCGUAGAUAUUAGGAGGAACACCAGUUGCGAAGGCGGCUUACUGGACAGUAACUGACGUUGAGGCUCGAAAGCGUGGGGAGCAAACAGGAUUAGAUACCCGAGUAGUC
rnacentral:rRNA from 1 species